rnacentral:rRNA from 1 species
CUACGGGUGGCACCAGUGAGGAAUAUUGCACAAUGGGGGGAACCCUGAUGCAGCAACGCCGCGUGGAGGAUGACGCAUUUCGGUGUGUAAACUCCUUUUAUAUGUCAAGAAAAUGACGGUAGCAUAUGAAUAAGCACCGGCUAACUCCGUGCCAGCAGCCGCGGUAAUACGGAGGGUGCAAGCGUUAUUCGGAAUCACUGGGCGUAAAGGACGCGUAGGCGGGUUGUCAAGUCAGGUGUGAAAUCCUACAGCUUAACUGUAGAACUGCACUUGAAACUGGCAACCUAGAGUAUGGGAGGGGGAGAUGGAAUUAGUGGUGUAGGGGUAAAAUCCGUAGAUAUCACUAGGAAUACCGAAAGCGAAGGCGAUCUCCUGGAACAUUACUGACGCUAAGGCGUGAAAGCGUGGGGAGCAAACAGGAUUAGAUACCCGGGUAGUC